GUUGGAUCCGGAACUGGAGUUGCAGACAGUUGUGAACUGUCAUGUGGGUGCUGGGAAUUCAACCCAGGUCCUCUGGAAGAGCAGUCAGUGCUCUUAACCCCUGAGCCAUCUCUCCAGCCCCACAAAACUUUUUUUUUUGGUGGGGGGGUCGAGACAUGAUUUCUCUGUGUAAUAGUUCUGGAAGUCCUGGAACUCACUUUGUAGACUAGGCCAGCCUUGAACUUACAGAGAUCUGCCUGCCUCUGUGUCCCAAGUGCUGAGUGAGAUUAAGAGUGUGUACCACCACUGCCCGCCUACCCAAUACCCUCUUCUGAAUCAAAGGGCACUGCACAAAUAUGCUCAAACCCACUCUGAUAUAAACAUAUACACAUAAUUAAAAUUAAAAUAAAUUCUUGUUAAUUUAUUUUUAAAAAAAAAAAUAAGCUGGGCAUGGUAGCACAGGUCUUUAAACCACUGCUAGAGAAACAGAUGCAUGCAUAUCUCUGUGAGUUUCAGGCCCAGUCUGGGUUAUAUAUUGAAUUCUAGGCCAGCCAGAGCUAUAUUGUAGGAAGCCGGUUCCUGCAUUAUAAUGCUGCCUGAAGACACCAAGGUGUGAAUUACUUCACAGGCGCCGGGUUAUCUCCAUUCCUUUGAUCUCUGCCUAUCCCGUGGCUCAUUUUUGCCUGAGGAGCUGAAGCCAUUCAUAGGAAGGAUCCGAGUGUCCUGCGUGUAUUUCUUGCUGGCGAGGAAUACAGAGCGGGCGCGGGACAUAUGGUGCCGAAACCCGGGAAUUGUUAACAUCUCCAGCACCUCGGAGACCCCUUGGCUACAAGGCGGAUUCAGAACUGCAGGAUGGUAAAUUCGGAGAGGUAUGAUUUUUCUGGACUUUGGCUACAAUCUUAAAGAAGUCCAGAAUUACAUAUCAGAAACCGAAUGUAAUGAGAAAAAUUCGGAGAGGUAUGAUUUUUCUGGACUUUGGCUUGGGAAUGUUGCUAUUGUGGGAGGUUAAUAUAGAGGCUUCUAUGCUUUUACUAGGAAUCUUAAAGAAGUCCAAAAUUACAUAUCAGAAACCGAAUGUAGUGAGAGAUGGGGCGCGCCUAACAAUAAAAUAUAAGAAAAAAGGACCUCCCGGGAUGUCUAAUGACAUGGGAGUAUAUGUAAGAAGAGAAACUACAACAUAUAAGAAAAAAGGACCUCCCGGGGUGUCUAGUGACAAGGGAGUGUAUACAGCAACAAAUAAGAAAAAAAGACCUCCUGGAAUGUCUACUGACAAGGGAGUGUAUAAAGCUUUAAAUCUUGAUAGCUCUGAUGACUCUAAAAGCUCAAGAGAUAAAGUUUUAAAAGGAACAGCUCAGCUGGAUGAGGGAGAGACAGAGAAGAAGAGAGAAAGAAUGGGAAAUAACCGGUCACACCCCGAUAAAUUUAGGAGAGAUGAGGAACCUAGCCUCUGCCCUGCAACGAAACUGGAAGCCUUGGAGCUGAACAGCUCAGACUCUGAGAUUUUAGACUCUAACAAAAAAGCAGAGCUAGAGGAGGAGCUGCCAAAAGUAAAAACAAAUAUGAGGCCAUCGCCUAUUAAUUCAGCGGGUGUACUUCUAUCAGCACACCCACUAUUUGGAACCGACUCCUUCUUACCAUCAGAGGAGCGGAGAAAAUUACAGAUGGCUUUCCCAGUCUUUGAUAGGGGAAAAGGCCAUGCCUGCUAUUCAACACUUCUUAAAGGCCUGGAAUGCCUGGGGCUUUAAAGCCUCAUUUACAUUAACGCUGGGGGCCAUACCGAGGCCAAGCGUCUCACCUCAAAAACUAAAAGGCCAAAAGGAAAUGGUAAAAUGGAAAGAUAUCUUAACUGAUUUUUGGAAAGGCCCGGAUCCUAUUCUCAUAAGAUCCAGGGGAGCGAUAUUGUGUUUUCUCACAGGAUGAAGAGAAUCCCCUGUGGAUCCCAGAAAGAUUCAACCUAAAGAGCCUCUACAGACCUUCAAAAGUCGAAACUCCACCCUCUACCCCCGGGAGUUGAGAGCCGCUAUUGUUAUCCAGAUUAACUCCUGCCCUUGGCGGAGCGAUUGUCUCUACUUAAGGGGUGGGGGUAAUUGUUCGAUGCAGCCGUUUACAGAUUGCUGUUAUUUUUGGCGGGUCUGUGAGAAAAGGGGUGGAUAUAAUUGUUUGAUGCAGCCACCUGCGAAAUGCUGUUACUUCUUUGGCUGGCAUGUAAGCUCCAGGGCUCAAACCAAGAGAUCAUCCAAGCGCUUAUAUUUUGGCUAAGCGAUAGGCCGCCGGCCAGACAGCUCUUGCACACCCGGAGCCUAGGCUCACUGCACAGGGUAGAGUGUCUGGUUUGUGCAGCCCCAAAGAGGGAUGCUGAGCAUAGGCAUCGCACAGAGUUGCCUAUUAUACAGGCUUCUCUGGGAGGUACGUUGACCUGCAUAAGGGUUACCUGCCCCAGUCCCCCUUUCCCAGAAAAACGGCAGAGGACAGGUCGGGAGUACUUCGGGUCAAACUGACAGCCUGAUGGUGACUCUCGUACACAGUCUUAAUGUUUGAUUUUGGGAAGGUCAACCCCUGCCUCUAUCCCUCAACAUAUGGGUGACCUAUUUGCUUGUAAUAAUAUAAAGCCUUUUCAUUAAUUAAUAAAAAAAGGGUGAUAUGUAGGAAGCCGGUUCCUGCAUUAUAAUGCUGCCUGAAGACACCAAGGUGUGAAUUACUUCACAGGCGCCGGGUUAUCUCCAUUCCUUUGAUCUCUGCCUAUCCCGUGGCUCAUUUUUGCCUGAGGAGCUGAAGCCAUUCAUAGGGUAAUACGUCCCAGGCGGCUGGUCAGCCUUUUAUAAGGGAUGGUUUUCUUGGUUCAAUGUCUCUGCUCAGUCUCUGCUCAGUCUAAUGCAUUAAAGCUUGUCUGCAGAAGGAUCCGAGUGUCCUGCGUGUAUUUCUUGCUGGCGAGGAAUACAGAGCGGGCGCGGGAC
ensembl:lncRNA